GACAGAGGGGGCAAGCGUUGCUCGGAAUUAUUGGGCGUAAAGGGCGCGUAGGCGGCCCGGUAAGUCAAAGGUGAAAUCCCUCGGCUCAACUGAGGAACUGCCUUUGGAACUGUCGGGCUUGAGGCCGGGAGGGGGUAGCGGAAUUCCCAGUGUAGCGGUGAAAUGCGUAGAUAUUGGGAGGAACACCGGUGGCGAAGGCGGCUACCUGGACCGGUUCUGACGCUGAUGCGCGAAAGCGUGGGUAGCAAACAGG
rnacentral:rRNA from 1 species